GGCAUGUGGGAUCUUCCCGGACCAGGACUCGAACCCGUGUCCCCUGCAUUGGCAGACGGAUUCUAACCACUGUGCCACCAGGGAAGUCCCCAACAUUAGCCUUUCUUGCUAACAAGCUGUGCAGUCUUUGGGUCUUCCUUUAUUCAGAUUCUGGAGAGAAGGAAUCUGAUUGACUCAACCUGUCUUUGGCUUCACUUGCUCUCCUUCUGAGAUACCCGUGUCUGGAUGCACUGGUUUUGGAUCACGUGGACCUUCAGGACCAACCCUCGACUGCCAUGCAUAAGGACAAGCCUGUGCUGCUCUCCCGAAGGAGCCCUGGGGCCUGGGAGGCAGCCUACUGCUUGGCCUGGGCAGUAGUCAGAGUGCUGGAGAGGCAGUGUUGGAAAAACCAAGGGAGCUCUACGGUGGGGCAAAGGCAGGAUGAGGAAACUGAGGCAGAGAUCAAGGAAUUUUCCCAAGGCCCACCACCAGUGAGUGACAACACUAGGAUUCAAACCUAGGUCUGUCUAUUGCCAAAGCUUAAGCUCUUAACCUCUCGGCUCUGUCUACCAAAUCAAAGAAAACUGGAAAUGAGACUCAGAGAAGCCAAUCAUUUGUUUAAGAUCACACAGCUCAUCAGUGGUAGAGCUCGAAUUCAAAACUCAGGGAACCUGAGCCUGUGGCCUCUCAGGUGUCUCCGAUUCCUGAUGAAAGGAUCUGGGGUGUGGGCCCAGGUAUCCUGGUGUCCUGGCCUCUGGCCAGGUUUUCCAGUUGCUUCUAGGUCUCGGCCUCCGCUGAAUUGCUGUGGACAUCCUGCCACCCGACAUGAGGAUGAAGCCCACUCGAGGAUGGCAGAGCAGGAGGGAAAGGACUCCGUGAGCUGCGGUGUCAACGCUCUGAGCCUGCCCUUCCUCUGAACCUGCGCUAUGAAGGAUAACUGAGAGUGAGGACUAUUCCAGAAAGCAGUGGGGAUCCAGACACGUGGACAUCCUUAAUCCCUCCAACAGUGUUCCUGGUAGCCCUGAGCUCCAUUCCCACAGAGGUCAGUUGAUUGUCUUGCUUCUCUAUGGAUUUGCUCGGAGGGCAAAUGGUUUGGAGUGAGUGUUGGAAGCAAAAUCCCACAGCAGAGGUUUCUCCCCCUUCUGGAAAACAUACUUUGUUUUUGUCAAACACCAGGUAUUCAGAGAAAGUUGCCUUUUGUCUCAACUGGGAGCAGACUUUGGUGGGCCUGAGGUGGAUUUCUUUAUUUUAAAAUAAAUAAAUGUAUUUAUUUAUUUUUAUUUUUG